GAUGAACGCUGGCGGCGUGCCUAAUACAUGCAAGUCGAGCGAACAGACGAGGAGCUUGCUCCUCUGACGUUAGCGGCGGACGGGUGAGUAACACGUGGAUAACCUACCUAUAAGACUGGGAUAACUUCGGGAAACCGGAGCUAAUACCGGAUAAUAUCUUGAACCGCAUGGUUCAAUAGUGAAAGACGGUUUUGCUGUCACUUAUAGAUGGAUCCGCGCCGCAUUAGCUAGUUGGUAAGGUAACGGCUUACCAAGGCAACGAUGCGUAGCCGACCUGAGAGGGUGAUCGGCCACACUGGAACUGAGACACGGUCCAGACUCCUACGGGAGGCAGCAGUAGGGAAUCUUCCGCAAUGGGCGAAAGCCUGACGGAGCAACGCCGCGUGAAUGAUGAAGGUCUUCGGAUCGUAAAACUCUGUUAUUAGGGAAGAACAAAUGUGUAAGUAACUAUGCACGUCUUGACGGUACCUAAUCAGAAAGCCACGGCUAACUACGUG
rnacentral:rRNA from 1 species